GGGAAGGUGGCUCAGUGGUAGAGUGCUUGCCUUGCAUGCAUGAGGCCCUGGGUUCAAUUCCUCCACACCA
rfam:Dipodomys ordii contig_13355, whole genome shotgun sequence.